GAUGAACGCUGGCGGCGUGCUUAACACAUGCAAGUCGAACGGGAAUUACUUUAUUGAAGCUUCGGUCGAUUUAAUUUAAUUCUAGUGGCGGACGGGUGAGUAACGCGUGGGUAACCUGCCUUAUACAGGGGGAUAACAGUCAGAAAUGGCUGCUAAUACCGCAUAAGCGCACAGAGCUGCAUGGCUCAGUGUGAAAACUCCGGUGGUAUAAGAUGGACCCGCGUUGGACUAGCUGGUUGGUGGGGUAACGGCCCACCAAGGCGACGAUCCAUAGCCGGCCUGAGAGGGUGAACGGCCACAUUGGGACUGAGACACGGCCCAG
rnacentral:rRNA from 1 species